UGAGAUUUAAAGAAUUAUAAAUUCGUUUAGUUAUUCUCGUAACCUAGAAGGAAUUAUGCUCUGAUGAAUUUCUAGAAGUUUCGAAACAUUCCAAUAUGUCGAGAAUGUGUGAUAAAUCAAUAGAAACCGUUAACAUCAUAUUAUCGAAGCAAUUAUGAAAACAUUCAUCACAUGUAGAUAUAUAUACAUUACGAUUUACUGAUGACAAAUGUGGUGAUAUCUGUACCUUUAUUUUGUUAAAGUUGACCAAAAACUAUCAUAUAUAAUACUACAUUUUAUAUACGAAAUAAAAUUCUCUUUUAGAUUUUCAAGCGUAAGUCGACGCCAUGCCUUUACAAUAUGUAAUGGCGUCAUUACUCUUUACACGCGAUCCAUAUUUUUCUAUCAAAUAUAUUUAUAUUGACUAUUAAAUCAUAUUUAAUCGUAUUAAUAUUACAUUAGCGUAGUAUAUGUAAUUUUUGUCUUAAUUAAUGUUUCUUAUCGAAUUUCGUAUAAUCAUUAAUGAAUAUAAACUCCAGUUGCUGAAAGAAUAUUCCUGGCAUUAACGAUUACGUAUCUCGGCAUUUCUGGAUGUGACCAGUCAUAAGUCAGUUGUGUUGUCAACAAAGAAACAAGGAACAUAAGUAGUUUAUUCUUUCGUUCCGGUCAAUAAACAAUCUUUGAUUUGUGGAAGUUAAAAUUUUCGAGAGUGGCCGCAAUGAAGGUUCGUUUACUCUUAUACCAACGAAGCAAAUAAUUCCGAACAAAUUUGUCAGACGGCACAGAAGUAGCAUCGACUAUGUGAAACGAAUAUGAAAACUGAUUUGCGUCUUCUAUUGUUUCGUUGCACGUGCGCAAGAGUAAUCGAGCAGGAAGUGUACAUCGAUCGUAUUUUUGACCUGUAUUAUCUUGCAAAUCCAAUUUAUUUCGGCAACUACAUGAAAUUAUUCAUGUAGUUGUUAUGUAAAAACAUAUAUAAUAAGAAGAUAAUUUAUCAUUCAAUUGAUGAAUAUAAUAUGAACAUAUAUAUAUAUAUUCAUACAGUCAAAAUAUCAUGAAAGUAUUAUUUCUUUUCUAUACUUAUGGACGUUAUAUCGUACAUAUGAUUCAGUACGUCUCGGCCUAUAGGCGAUGUAGUUAAACCGUAAACGAUAGAGGACAGAAACUGAAUAGGUGUGAAACUAAAUAAGAAACUGAAUUGAUGAAGAAAUAGAAAAGAAGAGGUGUAAAAAAUAUUCCUGGUCAAGGAACUUUUAUUUUUUCUUUCUUUUCUGUGGCAUAUGUAUUGUGAGGCAAAGGUAGAGAUAUCACUAUUUACGCUUAAACGUACCGAGGAAUCAUAUAACAGGCUCAAGUUUAUGCAGCUAUACAUAUAUACCAAUGAAUAACCUUGGAGCUCCAAUCAACUUGCUUACUUCUACAAAGCAAGAAAUUCAAUGAUUUUCAAAAACGAAUACCAUCGAUUGAAAGUCCUCAAAUUUUGAUAACGCGAUAUCAUAAUUUAGAUAAUAUUCAAAGCUCGCACCAUGAAUACAUAUGAAUGAUGUAUUUUAGGUAAUAAUGAUGUAUAUGACGCGUAACCGUAUAUAGAUAGGAAAACAUUCACUAUUCUGCGCCAUGAGCGAUCAUUUCAAAUCUACGGAAAUUCGUGGGUGGAUGGUUAUAUACGCUAAACAGAUUGCCGGUUUAUUUAAACGACGGUGUGUAACGAAAUACGAUGAUGUGCUUGGGAUGAUUCCAAUUUACCAACCUAGUUUUUUCCCUCGUGUAUCCAAGUGGCGCGCUUUUUUUUCAAGAAAUAAACUGGGUCACACGAUGGCAGCAAAGUGUGCGUAUACACGUGUCCAUCGACGAAGAGAAUCGGACGAGUGAACAAGCACGAAAGCAACGUGCUAGAAUAUAAGUUGCAAAGGUGGCGGAUGUAGACGCAUACAAGCAGUGGUAGAGAGGUAUAACGACCUUUGCGGCUCACAGUGAACGUGCGGAAAUCAUUUGUAUAAAAUUUCUAAUCGCAAAGUUCGCGCUAUUGUUAGUCGGUACGCGACGCACGAUCAGGAAAUAAAAUGGCAACAGGAGGAGCGUGAGAACUCACGUAGAGAGAAACGAUUUGUAGGUGGAAAGAACUCCCACAACGUUUCAGCAAUUACAUAUCUCGGAUAAGUUGCAUAGUUGCAUGCAUGUUUCAUGUUGCUUAAUAACAAAGAGUGACGAGUGUUUUAUAGCACAAUCAAACCGGAAACUCGGCUAGCAAUUAAUUUCACCGAACUGCUGAUACGACACUAGCAAGAACGAGCAUGUCGAGACUAGAGGACCAGAAAAGCGAAGUGGAAGAAGGGUACCGUUUAGUAAGGGAGUAAUUAGCGAGUCCCUAGAUAGAAACGAUACGCAUCCCGAUAGCUCGUGAGCCAUAGUACGGUCAAAACGGGCGAAUAAAGAGAACUUGAACGACACAGCCGUUCAUUCAGACUAUAUGUAUCUUGGGAUACAUUGUACUUGGUGUUCGUACGUCCCUGAUCGUUCCGGUCUAUAUCUACCAAUCCUAAAAAUAUUUAUAAACGGUAAAAUAUAAUACGAGCAAUAAGGUACUAUUAUCGAGUACCGAACGACUCCAUUUUAGUCCAUUUAUUUGGCUUUCCAAUUAUGCAUAUACUUGCAGUCAGAUGAAUAAUUCACCUUUUAAAAAUAUCAAAAUCGCGGUAGACUGGUAAAGGCCAAGGGAAGGAAGGCAACGAAGGACAGGAGCGACUAAAGGAAGCUUCGAAGCGAGCCUGCGCCGUCUAACCGACACGUAUAAAUAAAGAGUU
rnacentral:lncRNA from 1 species